rnacentral:rRNA from 1 species
AGCAGCAGCCGCGGGAAUACGUAGGGUGCAAGCGUUAAUCGGAAUUACUGGGCGUAAAGGGCGCGUAGGCGGACUGAUAAGUCAGGGGUGAAAUCCCAAGGCUCAACCUUGGAACUGCCUUUGAUACUGUUUGUCUUGAGUUCGAGAGAGGUAAGUGGAACUGCGAGUGUAGAGGUGAAAUUCGUAGAUAUUCGCAAGAACACCAGUGGCGAAGGCGGCUUACUGGCUCGAAACUGACGCUGAGGCGCGAAAGCGUGGGGAGCAAACAGGAUUAGAGACCCCUGUAGUCCCUGUCUCUUAUAC